rnacentral:snRNA from 1 species
AUGCAUAUAUUGCUCACUAAAUUGGAAUAAUAUAGUGCUUAGCAUGGUCCCUGCACAAGGAUGACAUGCAAAUUUAUGAAGCACUCCAUAUUUUU